CAUGGAUACAUUGCCCAGGGACUGAGUGAUGGGGGAUCUCCAGCAUGAAAAAAAUUUUAAAGCAUUGGCAUGGGGGGCUCUUGCGGAAGCAUCAGAUUGCAGGUGUCAAGGAGGCAUAUGACUAGAACACAAGGUAAUAUAUAGGCAGGAACAGUAGCAACCAGAAGCCAGGGAGAAAAGCAGUCAGACCAGCCAUAGAGAGCAGCCAUCUACAGCCAAUUGUCAGGAGCCAGCCACAGGGAGCUGCCGCAGCAUUCUACGACCGAAAACACUCACUACCCUGUAGUGAGGCUUCCUGCCAUCUGUUCUAUAAAACUCCAGGUACCUGCUGCACCGACGCCAGGCUCAGAAGAAUCAGCUGGACAUCUGUGGCUACCGUCUGCACUGCACCAACGCUGAACGCCCCCGAGCCAUGGAUCCCCCAAAACUGCAGCUGCCCUGCUGGGGGCCCUUGCACCUGUUCUGGCAAUUGCAAAUGCAAAGACUGCAAAUGCACUUCUUGCCAGAAAGGAGGCCGCACUACCUGCUGCCCUGCUCAGUGUCCUAAGUGUUCCAAGGAGUGCACUUGCAAAGGCCAUGACAAAGGCAGCUGCUGCCAUUGAGAGAGCUGCUGGCUUCUUGUAAAUAUAACCAUUGUUUCCUAGAGGCAUGAGUGAUGUACCUUGCCUGCCCUAAAAUGUGUUCAUGUGUUUUCAAAUGACAAUAAACUCAGUGAACAAAAUAAAUUCCUGGUUUGU
rnacentral:lncRNA from 1 species